AGUGAACGCUGGCGGUAGGCCUAACACAUGCAAGUCGAACGGCAGCACAGUAAGAGCUUGCUCUUACGGGUGGCGAGUGGCGGACGGGUGAGGAAUACAUCGGAAUCUACUUUUUCGUGGGGGAUAACGUAGGGAAACUUACGCUAAUACCGCAUACGACCUACGGGUGAAAGCAGGGGAUCUUCGGACCUUGCGCGAUUGAAUGAGCCGAUGUCGGAUUAGCUAGUUGGCGGGGUAGAGGCCCACCAAGGCGACGAUCCGUAGCUGGUCUGAGAGGAUGAUCAGCCACACUGGAACUGAGACACGGUCCAGACUCCUACGGGAGGCAGCAGUGGGGAAUAUUGGACAAAGGGCGCAAGCCUGAUCCAGCCAUACCGCGUGGGUGAAGAAGGCCUUCGGGUUGUAAAGCCCUUUUGUUGGGAAAGAAAAGCAGCAGGUUAAUACCCCGCUGUUCUGACGGUACCCAAAGAAUAAGCACCGGCUAACUUCGUG
rnacentral:rRNA from 1 species